GAUGAACGCUGACGGCGUGCCUAAUACAUGCAAGUCGAGCGAACGGACGAGAAGCUUGCUUCUCUGAUGUUAGCGGCGGACGGGUGAGUAACACGUGGAUAACCUACCUAUAAGACUGGGAUAACUUCGGGAAACCGGAGCUAAUACCGGAUAAUAUUUUGAACCGCAUGGUUCAAAAGUGAAAGACGGUCUUGCUGUCACUUAUAGAUGGAUCCGCGCUGCAUUAGCUAGUUGGUAAGGUAACGGCUUACCAAGGCAACGAUGCAUAGCCGACCUGAGAGGGUGAUCGGCCACACUGGAACUGAGACACGGUCCAGACUCCUACGGGAGGCAGCAGUAGGGAAUCCUCCGCAAUGGGCGAAAGCCUGACGGAGCAACGCCGCGUGAGUGAUGAAGGUCUUCGGAUCGUAAAACUCUGUUAUUAGGGAAGAACAUAUGUGUAAGUAACUGUGCACAUCUUGACGGUACCUAAUCAGAAAGCCACGGCUAACUACGUG
rnacentral:rRNA from 1 species